UUGGUGUUGGCCUGGUAGUUGCGCUGGCCUUCCAUCAGCCCGACCAGUUGCUGGGUCAGGUCGACGUUGGAGCUUUCCAGCGCGCCGGC
rnacentral:tRNA from 1 species